AGAGUUUGAUCCUGGCUCAGGAUGAACGCUGGCGGCGUGCCUAAUACAUGCAAGUCGAACGCUUUGUGGUUCAACUGAUUUGAAGAGCUUGCUCAGAUAUGACGAUGGACAUUGCAAAGAGUGGCGAACGGGUGAGUAACACGUGGGAAACCUACCUCUUAGCAGGGGAUAACAUUUGGAAACAGAUGCUAAUACCGUAUAACAAUGACAACCGCAUGGUUGUUAUUUAAAAGAUGGUUCUGCUAUCACUAAGAGAUGGUCCCGCGGUGCAUUAGCUAGUUGGUAAGGUAAUGGCUUACCAAGGCGAUGAUGCAUAGCCGAGUUGAGAGACUGAUCGGCCACAAUGGGACUGAGACACGGCCCAUACUCCUACGGGAGGCAGCAGUAGGGAAUCUUCCACAAUGGGCGAAAGCCUGAUGGAGCAACGCCGCGUGUGUGAUGAAGGGUUUCGGCUCGUAAAACACUGUUGUAAGAGAAGAAUGACAUUGAGAGUAACUGUUCAAUGUGUGACGGUAUCUUACCAGAAAGGAACGGCUAAAUACGUGCCAGCAGCCGCGGUAAUACGUAUGUUCCAAGCGUUAUCCGGAUUUAUUGGGCGUAAAGCGAGCGCAGACGGUUAUUUAAGUCUGAAGUGAAAGCCCUCAGCUCAACUGAGGAAUUGCUUUGGAAACUGGAUGACUUGAGUGCAGUAGAGGAAAGUGGAACUCCAUGUGUAGCGGUGAAAUGCGUAGAUAUAUGGAAGAACACCAGUGGCGAAGGCGGCUUUCUGGACUGUAACUGACGUUGAGGCUCGAAAGUGUGGGUAGCAAACAGGAUUAGAUACCCUGGUAGUCCACACCGUAAACGAUGA
rnacentral:rRNA from 1 species